rnacentral:tRNA from 1 species
CGCUUAUUAGUUUAAUGGAUAUAACGCACACACUGCUCAUGUGAGAAUCUGGGUUCGAUUCCCAGAUAAGCAU